GACGAACGCUGGCGGCGUGCCUAAUACAUGCAAGUCGAGCGCAGGAAACUGACGGAACUCUUCGGAGGGAAGGCAGUGGAAUGAGCGGCGGACGGGUGAGUAACACGUAAGGAACCUGCCUCAAGGAUUGGGAUAACUCCGAGAAAUCGGAGCUAAUACCGGAUAGUUCAACGGACCGCAUGGUCCGCUGAUGAAAGGCGCUUCGGCGUCACCUUGAGAUGGCCUUGCGGUGCAUUAGCUAGUUGGUGGGGUAACGGCCCACCAAGGCGACGAUGCAUAGCGGACCUGAGAGGGUGAUCGGCCACACUGGGACUGAGACACGGCCCAGACUCCUACGGGAGGCAGCAGUAGGGAAUCUUCCACAAUGGACGAAAGUCUGAUGGAGCAACGCCGCGUGAGUGAUGAGGGUUUUCGGAUCGUAAAACUCUGUUGUAAGGGAAGAACACGUACGAGAGGAAAUGCUCGUACCUUGACGGUACCUUACGAGAAAGCCACGGCUAACUUCGUGCCAGCCGCCGCGGUAAUAC
rnacentral:rRNA from 1 species